rnacentral:rRNA from 1 species
GAUGAACGCUAGCGGCAGGCCUAAUACUUGCAAGUCGAGGGGUAGAGAGAGCUUGCUCUCUUGAGACCGGCGCACGGGUGCGUAACGCGUAUGCAACCUACCUUUAUCUGGGGGAUAGCCCGAAGAAAUUCGGAUUAGCCCCGCAUAAAAUCACAGAACGGCACCGUUCAAUGAUCAAAUAUUCAUAGGACAGAAAUGGGCAUGCGUGCCAUUAGUUAGUUGGCGGGGUAAAGGCCCACCAAGACCGCGAUGGCUAGGGGAUCUGAGAGGAUGGCCCCCCACACUGGUACUGAGACACGGACCAGACUCCUACGGGAGGCAGCAGUAAGGAAUAUUGGUCAAUGGAGGCAACUCUGAACCAGCCAUGCCGCGUGCAGGAAGACAGCCCUCUGGGUCGUAAACUGCUUUUAUUCGGGAAUAAACCUGCUUACGUGUAAGUAGCUGAAUGUACCGAAGGAAUAAGGAUCGGCUAACUCCGUGCCAGCCGCCGCAGUAAGAC